GAACAGAUGCUGUCGGCUCGUCCACUCAGCCAUCACAAACUCGAGGGCAGGUUUUCCAGUAGGUCCUGGGAGACUACAGAGGAACUCCAAGAGAGGUUCCAGCUGGGUGUGUACCAGCUCCUCCAUGUUACAGAUCAUAUGGGCACAAGUGGUAAAAAUCUCCACAGCUCGGGAACGGGUUCGAAUACCAUAUACCUGGGAAAACAGUGAUGGCACAGACGUGAGAGUGGUAGCAGUUCCCAGUCAGCACACAAAUAAGGACAUUGGCCUGGUGGCCUCACACUGGGGAAGAAAAAGUAGCAAGAGUUACUGAUUAUUAGAAGAAGAAGAACAAUAUGGCCUUAAGGAAAAUACGUGAUUAAGAAGGAAAACCUUAAUACAAAUAUUGGAAGGAAAUCUGAAAGAGAACUGCAUAAAAGUCUUUUUGAGGUUAACCUGAGAAAAUUCUGUCCUAGUUUGUGUCCACCUGUCAACAGUCAGGGGUGUUCUGUGGUCUCUCUGCUUCUGUUUUUAGUUUUCUCCCUUGGAAAUUUAUUUUGAUGCAUGUAAUAAAAUAUGUACA